UCCCACUAACGAGCGCAACCCUUACCGUUAGUUACCAGUCAGGUUAAGCGUGGGGACUCUAGACGGGACUGCCACCGUAAGGUGAGAGGAAGGUGGGGAUGACGUCAAAUCAGCACGGCCCUUAUGUCCAGGGCUACACACGUGUUACAAUGGCCGGUACAAAGGGCAGCUACUUCGCGAGAAGAUGCUAAUCUCGAAAGCCGGUCUCAGUUCGGAUCGAAGUCUGCAACCCGACUUCGUGAAGCUGGAUUCGCUAGUAAUCGCGCAUCAGCCAUGGCGCGGUGAAUACGUUCCCGGGCCUU
rnacentral:rRNA from 1 species